CUUAUACUCCCUCCGUUCCGAAUUACUUGUUGCAGGUAUGGAUGUAUGUAGAUGUAUUUUAGUUCUAGAUACAUCCAUUUCUAUGACGAGUAAUUUGGAACGGAGGGAGUAUUAU
rnacentral:pre_miRNA from 1 species